UCAAACUUGGUCAUUUAGAGGAAGUAAAAGUCGUAACAAGGUUUCCGUAGGUGAACCUGCGGAAGGAUCAUUACAGAGACUUAAAAACUUUGGUUUUUAACCUCCUAACCCUUUGUUUAUUUGACUUGAUUGUUGCUUUGGUAGGGCUUUAAUUAGUUCCUACCAACUGCCUAAUAUUUAAAAUUCUUGAUUAAACCUGAUGCCUAAAUUUCAAAUUUAAUUGAAGCAAAAACUUUCAACAACGGAUCUCUUGGUUCUGGCAUCGAUGAAGAACGCAGC
rnacentral:misc_RNA from 1 species